rnacentral:rRNA from 1 species
UGGGGAAUUUUGGACAAUGGGCGAAAGCCUGAUCCAGCAAUGCCGCGUGUGUGAAGAAGGCCUUCGGGUUGUAAAGCACUUUUGUCCGGAAAGAAAUCCUUGGCUCUAAUACAGUCGGGGGGAUGACGAUACCGGAAGAAUAAGCACCGGCUAACUACGUGCCAGCAGCCGCGGUAAUACGUAGGGUGCAAGCGUUAAUCGGAAUUACUGGGCGUAAAGCGUGCGCAGGCGGUUUGCUAAGACCGAUGUGAAAUCCCCGGGCUCAACCUGGGAACUGCAUUGGUGACUGGCAGGCUAGAGUAUGGCAGAGGGGGGUAGAAUUCCACGUGUAGCAGUGAAAUGCGUAGAGAUGUGGAGGAAUACCGAUGGCGAAGGCAGCCCCCCUGGGCCAAUACUGACGCUCAUGCACGAAAGCGUGGGGAGCAAACAGGAUUAGAUACCCUGGUAGUCCACGCCCUAAACGAUGUCAACUAGUUGUUGGGGGAUUCAUUUCCUUAGUAACGUAGCUAACGCGUGAAGUUGACCGCCUGGGGAGUACGGUCGCAAGAUUAAAACUUAAAUGAAUUGACGGGGUCAUAGCUGUUUCCU